AAUAGAGGGCGAGAAAUCACCUCAGUUCCAUUUGACUUUGAGUGUGCAAUAUUCGUAUUUAUAUUAGAUAUUCUAGCCUUAUUCUACAUAUCACGACCUGGAAAUAUGGCUAGGAGAAGCAUAAGUAUGUCGAAGAUUUGCAAUAGGAUGUAGAAUCCGGACAAGUGGUGAGGAAGUUGAGAAGAAUAAUCAAACAUACUUUAGAACAAAAAAAAGACAGUAACAAUGUACAGACGUUUACCUCGCAACCCCCAGUACUAGAUAAAACAGCAUCCUGGAAAAAUGAACAUAAUCAAGCGAUGAACAAAAGUAACGAAGCGAAGAUCUUUGUACGGGACAGUACAAAUAUAAGUUUUCAGAAGUCAGUAAAUAAACGUUUUAUGGCUGAUGUUCUUUAAAUUUACCGUUUAAUAUAUGGCUUUCGCUGACAUAAAA